rnacentral:rRNA from 1 species
UACAGAGGUCCCAAGCGUUGUUCGGAUUCACUGGGCGUAAAGGGUGCGUAGGUGGCGGGGUAAGUCGGAUGUGAAAUCUCCGAGCUCAACUCGGAAAUGGCAUUGGAAACUACCUUGCUCGAGGGUUGGAGGGGGGACUGGAAUACUUGGUGUAGCAGUGAAAUGCGUAGAUAUCAAGUGGAACACCAGUGGCGAAGGCGAGUCCCUGGACAACUCCUGACACUGAGGCACGAAAGCUAGGGGGAGCAAACAGG